rnacentral:lncRNA from 1 species
GGCAUCUUGUUUAAUAUGAAUGUUGUAAAAGUUGUGUUAAUUGUAUGUAGGAAAUCUAAUUUAGAUUGUAAAGUAUGAGGAUGUUUGUGGGCAAAAUAUAUAGUUGUUUUUGCCAAAACCUAUAAUGAACGGAUGGACAAACUAUUAAGAUUACGUUAUCGUAAGAAGCUAACGCAGCAAAACCCCCUUUUUGGCUGCCAAGCGCGGAAACCUCAGGAAUGCGCGCGUCAAUGCUUUGGCUCAGAGACCUUAGCUAAUAUUAUAAAUAGAGUUGUAAAAUGUAAGAGUGGAGUUUGGAGUUCGAAGUGAGAAGUUUGAGAUUGAAUCGAGAUUGAAUUUGAUGUAUUUAGAAUAUGUUUGAAUAUCGAAAGGUUUGAAUAUUAUGUUUGAAUAUCGAAGGGUCCUUGCCCAGUACGUCGUCUGCCCCUCAGAGUUCUAGUAGUGAGACGGCGACAGCGAAUAUUAAACAAACGGUUACCCAGACUUGAAGUCCCUAAAUUUUCAGGAAAGGUUCACGAAUGGCAGGAAUUCUGGGACGGGUUUUCAAGCGCCAUAGACGGUAAUACCCAGUUAAAUUAAGUGAGGUAGACAAGUUUUCCUACUUACGUGGCUUGUUGUUUGCCCUUACCGCAGAUAAUUAUAAAGCAGCGGUCGAUCUUUUGAAGAAACGUUACGGUAAAAAGAUUUUAAUACAACGCGCGUAUGUAAAAAGUUAACUCUGACUAAACGAAACACACUCAGUUUACUUGCGAGUCAAUUUGAUCCGAUGGGGUGAAUUGGUCGUAUUAUAAUUCGCAUGAAAAUGUUGUUUCAGGAGAUUUGUCGAGAAAACCUUGACUGGGAUGUAAAUUUAGAAGGGUAAUUUAAACUCAAGUGGGAAGAAAUAGUAAGACAUUUGUUAGCAAUCAAAGAGAUUAAUAUAAGUCAAUGCAUUUAUAAACAUCCGAGGCGGGUAAUCCGCAAGUGCUUUCUCCAUGGGUUUGGAGACGCAAGCACUAAAGGUUAUUGCGCUGUUGUAUAUUUAGUAUAUCACGCGGAAGACGGAAUAUAUACAGUAUUGCUUACUUCAAAGUGCCGAGUGGCACCACUGAAAGAAUUAACUAAAAACUAGCAAAAAUUCUGGCUCAAUUAAUGGAUAGUGUAAUGAAAGCUAUGGAACGUGACAUUAAAUUUAAUGGAUUGAAAUAUUGGUUAGACAGUAAAACAACCCUGUGUUGGAUUGAAAACAGAUUUAAACAGGGGGAGUGGAAACAAUUUGUUCGUCACCGCGUUGCUGAAAUUUUAAAAUUAACAAAAAAAAAAUAUUGGGGGUUAUUGUCCAAGCGCGGAAAAUCCCGCAGACCUAGGCUCGAGAGGCACGUUUGGCUCUGAUUUGAAAGACGAAAAGCUUUGGUGGCACGGGCCUUUAUGGUUAAGUCAAGAGAAAAAACAAUUGGCCACAAAAGGCAAAUAUUGUAAGUACCCCGGAGUGUGUUAGUGGUCGAAAUAACAGAACCGUGCAGUAUUAACUAAGUUUUAGACAUAAGUCGAUAUAGUUCUUUGAGAAAACUCGUGAGAGUCACAGCACUCGUUUUACGUUUUAUCCAUAAGCUGAGAACCCGGAAAGUAUUACAGCAUGAUGAAAAUGAGUUGACAGAUGGGGAAGUUAUUACCCUAGAUCGAGAGGAAUUAAUUAACGCAGAAAAUGCGUGGGUUGAAACAGCGCAAACAGAGUUACGCAAACAGGAUAAUUUUGAUCAACUUAAAAGGACGUUAAAUAUAAUUACACUGACCUGAAAGGUCAAGUGUCUUAAAUCCCUAAUUUUCUGUUUUCUUCGUCGUCGAAAAAUCGAGUUUCCGUUCGCGCAUCGCAGGCUCAGGGUGCAACGAUCAAGCCAAAAUGCCAUCGAUUCCCUCGUUUCCAUGAUUUAGAUAGUAUAGUAAUAAGCUCGCAUUUAUGCACGUAAUAGUCGACUCAUGCCAUGCUUGUGGUACAUUUUUCGUUUAUUAGCCCAUAUAUAGACUUGUACGCACGCGCACAAUUCCGAACUCCAAGGGUGACAUAUUCAGUCCAGUUUCAAAAUGGCAGCUUUUGAUUGAGCGAUCAAAAUAUAUUUCACACAGUUUCGUUGAAUUUUCGAAAAGUUGUGCCGGUUUCCUGUGGAUUUUACGUUUCGUCGCACUCUGGACUUUCUUGCAUGUUGAAUUAAUCUGUUUUUCUUUGUGUAACGACUCGAAAAACCCAAAAUUUGGACCGGCGAAUUUUAAUAUACAAUAUAGUGGAAUAUACAAUAUCGUGGAAUACAAUUAACAAGGACAAAUUAAAGGUUUGACAGGUUGGCUUUAAUAAACAACUAUAAAUAUACGUUGUCGACUCAUAAACAUCCGUUGUUUAUUUGUGUUCAUUUUUGUGUCGCACUCUGGACAUUCGUUCGUGUUGAAUUAAUGUUUUUCUUUUUGUAUUAAAAUUAAACGACUCGAAAACCCCCCAAAUUUGGACCCAGCGAAUUUAUACCAUAUAGUGGAAUAUAAACAAGGACAAUUAAGUUAAAGGUUGACAGUUUGACUACACAACGCAGUUUUAAUUAAACAAAAUCUUACAAAAUUCUCAUUCUCAACAAAAUAUCGACAAUAUAUCUUACAUGUAUUAAAAUUCGCGCAGUACUACUAAGAAUUCGUGUAGCGCUGUGUGCGCAAAUUUUAGUACUGCGCGAAAUAUAAUACGCGCAAAAAGCUUUGUGUUGCUACAGUAAGUUAAAGAUACAGCGUGCGUUCAAAAUAAUAACAAGGACUAAAACAUUUAUUGUAUGGUUCUCAUUUGCCUAAUGCCUAAUACAAUAACAUUAGUUCGACGCGAAUUUUAAUACAAGUAAGGUAUGGUAUCAUAUUUCAUACUAUAAGGAACAAUGUAAACUAGCCAUACAUUUCGCCGAACAUAUAAACUUCGGCCCCUUUGGACAUAUCUUUUUCGUAAUAGUAUUAUUGGAACCAGAAUCCAAGGUUGGCAGUUGACUACACAGCGUAGUUUUAAUUAAAGAAAAUCUCCUAAUUCCUUACGAUAGUUUUAGCCAAAUGUCGACAUGAAUAUACCUUACAUGUAUUAAAAUUCGCGCAAUACUAGAAUUCGUGUAGCGCUGGGUGCGCAAAUUUUAAUACUGCGCGAACUAUAAUCCGCGCAAAAAGCUUGUGGUAGCUACUGUAAAGAUAAAGCGUGCGUUCAAAAUACCAACCAGGACUAAAACUGUAAAACAUUUAUUGUAUGGUUCUCAUUCGCCUAAUACAAUAACAUGUAUAGUUCGACGCGAAUUUUAAUACAAGUAAGGUAUGGUAUCAUAUUUCAUAAUAUAAGGAACAAUGUAAACUAGCCAUACAUUUCGUCGAACAUAUAAAUUUCGGACAUAUAAACAAAUAAACUGUAUGACUAUUUAUAUAGUGUUAUUUUCAAGCUUGUGUCUUCAGAUUUUCAUCUUUUAUUUCGGUAUUUACAGAAUAUUUAUAUUUGACAUAUUUCUAGCGCCGCCCAUGAAACGUACAUCAAAACAAUCCGCUGUGAAAAAAAAAACGGAAACCGAUUCUGUAGGUCAAAGUACUCCCAGUGGCAAGGUUUGCACGUGCAUCGGUCAGGCUAUAAAUAUGGCCAAGCAUCAACGUGGCGCUAGACUUGCCACAAGUUCGGCGCUCGCUGCUUGCGUUUCGUUGAAGGUCGAUGGGGUUAGCGUGGUUAAAUAAAGUUUUCUAUCUAUCUAUCUAGUCUAACGUGGCGCGUGCGUGCGCGAGUAAAACCCCGAUAUUUUGAAAAAUUAAAAUAAAUAUUUCUACUCUGUGCCGUAUUCAAACGCAACUUUGUACAUGAAUACAUGAAAGCGCUUGAACACAAGACGUAUUUUAUUCACAUUGACUCUGAACAAAUUCUGAAGAGCUUAGAAGAUAUUCAAGUUUUUUUCUCGAUAUGAAAUACUGAAUGUUUGGCCAAGCGGUGAGUAAAUAUAUGAUUGUUUUGGUUUGUGUAAUGUUUUGACGGCACUUGACCCCCCCCCCCCCGCAGGAUUACAAUGGUGCUUGUCGUUUUAAAGGGGGGUAAAUCAAUAAAUACUAAAGUAGAUAGACAGUAAAUACUAAAGUAGGGUGCAUUGGCAGCUAAUGGGCUAAUAAAAGACAUUUAUUGGCGUAUGUGUUUGUGAAACCAUUUACUGAUAGUACGCUACCACUGACAACUAUAAUCGUCAGGCGGUACACGGUGUACACUUGUCUGGCGUUAGUCAGAGUUAAUUAUUACUGAAAGUAGUGUGCAUUGCCAGCUAGUAGGUUAGUAGACUAAUAUCCACUUUUGACCCAAUGUCCUCAUUUUCAUGUUGGUUAUUUACUCUAUUCCGUGCACAUAACUUAAGAAUAAGUUUGCGAUUGGGCUUAAAUGAUGAACGAGAAACAAAUUUGUGCAGGAAAUAUACGGGAUAUAACCUUCAUGGGCAGGCCUGCCAUGCUACCAAUGAUGAAACGUGAAAAUUAAGCCAUUGGGUCAAAAGUAAACUUCCUUUUAGAGAAUUGUUUAGAAAUACAAAUUAACUUUUGCAUUCAGUUGAUGUGGCAAAACGGCAGCACUUUCCUUGCGAUAGUAACUCCUAGUUGUAGAUUUGCACCAUAGGUCUCCCAAAAAGGUCUUUUAGUUUUUCCAUACAAUUUGCUUGCGGUUUACGACUUGUAUUCUUGUCUAUUGCACCAUAGCACGUAUGUCGUCAUUUUCAGGUCAGUGUGAACGCCUGAGCAGGCGUCUCGUUGAAGAUGAAAAUGGCAUGCUUAGGUGCGUAGGAAGACUUGAAAAUUAAGAUUUAAGUGAUUUUGCUCGUAGACCUUUAAUUUUGCCUAGAGAACACAGGUUUACUAAUUUAGUUAUUGAAGAUUGUCAUACUAGAGUUCACCACAAUGGACUUAGAGGGUCGUUAGCCGAAUUGCGUUCAAGGUACUGGGUACCAAGAGCGAGGCAGAUUGUUAAGAAAAUAAUUCAUAAGUGUGUCAUAUGUAAGAAGGUUGCAGGAAAGUCUUAUACGGCCCCACCUAUGGCGGCCUUACCGGUUUCGAGUAGGUGAAAGUCUCCCGUUUUCCUGAAAAAGUUGGAGUUGAUUUUGCCGGACCAUUAUUUGUUAAGAGUAACAUAGAAGAAUCGAAAAAGGCUUACAUUGCCCUUUUCUCUUGUUGCGUGCAUGACACGUGCGGUACAUCUGGAAUUAGUUGAAGAUUUGACAUCACAAACAUUUAGACGAGCACUUAGGCGUUUUUCGAGUAGAUGCGGAACUCCGGCCCUGAUAGUUUCAGACAAUGCUAAGACACUUUCGUGCAACACAGAAGGCUCUAAAACAGUUGUUUAACCAUCCUGAAGUUAGGAGCGAACUCGAACGUACGAAAACAGAAUGGCGUUUCAACCUGGAACGCGCUCCCUGGUGGGGAGGAUUUUUCGAACGCCAUGUGGGAUGCGUGAAGGCAUGUUUAAAAAAGGUACUAGGCAAUGCAAAACCGACCUAUAACGAAUUACUGACUGCUGUGAUAGAGGUUGAAGGCACUCCAAAUUCCAGACCAUUGACGAUUUGACGUACGUAUACGUACGAGGAACUAUACGAGGACGUUUUAACUCCAUCACAUUUAAUUCAUAGCAGGCGUUUAAAGUCCUUGCCAGAAUGGAACAUAGAGGAAGCAGCUGAGAAUGAGACUAAUUGUAGCAAAAGAUUUAGACAUUUGACGCUUAGGUUAGUGCACUUUUGGAAUAGAUGGAGAAAGGAAUACUUAACAGAUCUUAGAGAGUUUCACAAAGCCAAGAGUAGCGUUUUUUAAGAGAAUAUGAAAGGAGCACAGUGGAAAACAGCGGUUGUCGAACGAUUAAAGGUAAAGAUGAGAUAAUUAGAGGUGCAGAAGUUAGGGUAAUUACGAAAGGUAAACGUUUACGCAUUUCAAGACCAAUUCAAAAACUAAACCCUCUAGAAAUAAGAGCCACCCUCGAGAAAAAUGAAGAGGUUAAGAAAACGCUCGUAAGUAAGAGCGACAUUCCCACACGAUAAUCCUAAGCGAGCGGUGGCACUGGACUGUAAAUGGAAAAUGCGUAGGAUUGAUUCGUAGCGAAUCAAAGGGGGGAGAGUGUUGUAAAAGUUGUGUUAAUUGUAUGUAGGAAAUAUAAUCAUAGGUAGCCCAGACACACUGUGCGAUUUAAAUUUAAAUGCUUGGCAUACUUAAUUACCCCCUGCGGUAUCGAUUUCAAAAUAAUAAUGUUAACGAUCAAAAAUAUUCCGAAUUUUUACACCAAAAUGUAUCACUAAUCAAUGCUUAUCGUUGAAGGAAAUAUACUUAGGUACAUAGCAUGCGCAUGCAUCAACAUAAAUAGUUUAUACCUUUAGUAGAAGCACUUGAAAUCCAGCUUUAAAAUCAUGACAUUCACGGCGACGCGGCGGAGGAGGGGAAAGGAGACAAGGUUGGCAACAUCCAUUGGCCAAGCUGCACGUAUCACCAUAAACAAACCCGUCUAACUCAACAAUACGGAAAGCUCAGCCGAAAAUUCUACAACAGCUGAUAAAACAACUAUCUUGCUUUCCAACAAUGUACUCCUUUCAAAAUUUGAAAUUUACCGUCCGUGAACCUUGUUUACCUUGCGCCCAGUCACAUCGUAAAUUUUGUAUGGAGGCUGUGGUUUGAAGUGAAAUUUCUGCAAAGGGAAACUUUCAAAUUUUGAAAGGAGUACAUUGUUGGAAAGCAAGAUAGUUGUUUUAUCAGCUGUUCUAGAAUUUUCGGCUGAGCUUUCCGUAUUGUUGAGUUAGACGGGUUUGUUUAUGGUGAUACGUGCAGCUUGGCCAAUGGAUGUUGCCAACCUUGUCUCCUUUCCCCUCCUCCGCCGCGUCGCCGUGAAUGUCAUGAUUUUAAAGCUGGAUUUCAAGUGUGUCUACUAAAGGUAUAAACUAUUUAUGUUGAUGCAUACGCAUGCUAUGUACCUAAGUAUAUUUCCUUCAACGAUAAGCUUGAUUAGUGAUAUAUUUUAGUGUAAAAAUUCGGAAUAUUUUUGAGCUGAUCGUUAACAUUAUUAUUUUGAAAUCGAUACCGCAGGGGGUAAUUAAGUAUGCCAAGCAUUUAAAUUUAAAUCGCACAGUGUGUCUGGGCUACCUAUGAUAUAAUUUAGAUUGUAAAGUAUGACGAUGUUUGUGGGCAAAAUAUAUAGUUGUUUUUGCCAAAACUUAUAAUGAACGUAUGGAGAAAGAUUACGUUAUCGUAAGAAGCUAACGCAGCAAACCCCGCUUAUUGGCUGCCAAGCGCGGAAA